GUGUGUCAGCUUCGUGUGUAUACAUAUAGUCUUUCCUAUGCAUUAGGUUUUUUGUGUAAUGCAUUAACAGUUGACAGCCUAUCUUAUGAUGUGUACUCUGUUUACAUUACAGUUGUUUAUUAGUUUACUCGUUUGUUUUGCGACUGAUGAAGUGCCGGCAUAUAUAUAUUUUCAACAUUUGACAUAACCCUGUAUGUUUUGCAGGGACAACCCAGGACGUGCAUUUCUCAGCACCCAGUCAACUGCCAAAAGUGACUCAAACACAGACCACCAGUGGAACUCGGCUGUACCACUGCAGUUCUGCGGAAAUUGCCUUCACCAGCGGCUUUGCAACAGCUGUUUCGCAGCAUGUCGGAGACAAUGCCUACGAAAUUAUUGGCCCUGAUCAUGAGAGCCCUCAAGGUGCAAACAACAUCUCUGUUGCAGAAGUGAGCCCAAUACCACUUGGAAGUUACCAUGACAGAUGACACGGCAGCAAUAGAUGCAGAGACUGCCAUGUCUACUGCAGCUGCAACAGUGUACGAGGCAAGCAGCAGCACGUCAGCAUCAGCAGCAGUGUCAGAAGGAACCACACCAGGCCUGGUAGAGCAACAUGUGUGCUAUCACUGACUUUUUUUGUAGUGGAUACAACUCAUUUGCUCAACAUACAAAAGCUUUUCACCACGACUGUGAGCCAGUGUUAUUGUGCAGCAAGUGCAAGACUAAGUUAGGUGUUAUAACACAGUACAAGCAUCACUUUAAUAUAUGCAAAUGCAAACGUAUUGCAGUUGUUGCCUCCCCAGCCAGCCCACAUAGUGACAACAAUGUGGAACACAUGGUGGGACACACCUCUCUCCCAUUACAAGAUAGUAGAGACUGUCAGUGAUGUUGCUAGAUUGACUGGUCUUUGUAGGCAACUAGAAGGACAACACAGGUGUCAUAAGAUUGUUGUUGAUGUUGUUGUUGAAGAGGUAAAAAAGAAGUUUGAUGCAGCUGAAGUGCCAACUGAUAUUGAGCAAAUCAAAAGCAACCACCUGAGAAAGCAACACUAUCGAAAUUUGGGUAUCUAUGUGCCGCCAACUCUGGUAAGAAUGGCAUAGGACAGAAGUGUGAUGAAAAUCACACAGACACUGCUGUUGCAUCACUGGCCACAGUGAGCAGCGACUUGUAGGGCAAGAGAGUCAACUAAAACUAACAUUAUGAUAUAGUGUCAUGCUCCCAUGUGACCACUUUUCAAGUUAUUUUGCAAGACACAGCUCAACCUCCAGAAACGAGACUGCAACUUGUCUGUAAAAAAGCUUUCACAAAAAAUUAUUCAUAACACUAUUAACAUAGCAGUAUCUUUUUUUUUUUUGUGUCGGUUCGAGGUUCCCGGCUGUCCAUUAAUGCAAAAAUUGAGGAAAAAAAGAACAUGUGUCAUACUUACACCUUUUUAACAAUUACGAGGGGGACAGAACUUUUCUAGUCAUGCAUCUUCAUCAUACUAUCAAGUUUUUAAAUGCCUUUUAUAAUUAUUAUUACCAGAUAUAUCUGAGUGCAUUGUAUGCAUGUAGCAGGUGUAAAAUCAGGUCAGUUGGAUCAGAUGCCUUAUCUGCAAGCGAGCCCUAUAUUCAAGAAAUUUGAAUUAAAAUAGUUACGUUAGAGACGCAGUCUUAGAGCACUUUAUUGCCUGUUGUUUAAGCAUUGCUCAAUACUUUUGUGGGUGGCGAUUUCAACCCGCACAGCACUGCGCUUUGCCACAGUCACAUUUGUCUUCAAAGCGGUGUUUACCAUUUGUGUUGAUCUGUUUGUGUAUGCAUAGAGCAAGUUUUUAAUUUAUAUUUUUCUGCACUAAGCUUGUAUAAGGCAGUUACAAAAUGUGCGUCACUAUAACGAACUGUUCUGUUGAGCUUACACUUGCAAAUAAUCAUGUUCAGAUGGCCGCACUUCUAUGCGGGUGCACCGCUAGCUUUGUGUAUGUUCUCAUGUUUGUAUAAAGCUUAUAUAAGCUAGUUAGAAAAUGUAU